GAGAUAAGAUUUCCCAUUACGUAAGUAAGUAAGAUCCCUGAAAGAUGAUCAGGUAGAUAGGAUGGAAGUGGAAGUGCUGCGAGGCAUGGAGCGGACCAUUACUAAUCGAUCGAGGACUUAACCAA
rnacentral:rRNA from 1 species